rnacentral:rRNA from 1 species
CUCUGUGAUCCUACGGGAGGCAGCAGUGGGGAAUAUUGCACAAUGGGCGCAAGCCUGAUGCAGCAACGCCGUGUGAGUGAAGAAGGUUUUCGGAUCGUAAAACUCUGUCCUAAGGGAAGAAACAAAUGACGGUACCUUAGGAGGAAGCCCCGGCUAACUACGUGCCAGCAGCCGCGGUAAUACGUAGGGGGCAAGCGUUAUCCGGAAUCACUGGGCGUAAAGGGUGCGUAGGCGGUUUUUCAAGUCAGAAGUGAAAGGCUAUGGCUCAACCAUAGUAAGCUUUUGAAACUGUUAAACUUGAGUGCAGGAGAGGAAAGUGGAAUUCCUAGUGUAGAGGUGAAAUUCGUAGAUAUUAGGAGGAACACCAGUGGCGAAGGCGACUUUCUGGACUGUAACUGACGCUGAGGCACGAAAGCGGUGGGGAGCGAACAGGAUUAGAUACCCUGGUAG